GCUCAGUGGCAGAGCACUUGCCUUGCAUGCAUGAGGCACUGAGUUCAAUCCUCAG
rnacentral:tRNA from 1 species